AUGGCCUCGUCGGCGACGAGGGAGGUGCUUAUGCUGGAGGCGCCACCGUCCGAGGCUGCGGGUGUGCCUUGGCGCCCGCCUCCGGACGCUGAGACGGUGGACGCGCUGCCCUACAUCGACGGGGACUACGGCGACCCUGCGGUGAAGCGCGAGGUUGACCGCCUCGUCGAGGAGGAGAUGCGCCGGGCUCACCGCAAGCCCGCCGACUUCCUCCGUGACUUGCCCCCCGUUCCCAUCAUUGGAUUCGAGAAUCAUCCUAUGCUUGCGAAAGAGUACGAACGUGUUAGAGCUGGCAAGCCACCUGCUACCAUGGAGAUGUCCCGCUAUGGUUUGGAGCCACCCCCAGCGAACAAGAGAAAUGAUGUUCUUGCUUGGAGGCAGGCUUUACGGAAUGCCCAGAGCCAGCUGCAGCAUCAAAUUGUGCGGAUUGAGAAUUUGGAGCUUAUGCUGAAGCACGGUGUUGAGGUUUGGAAGCUCCAGAACAGAAAAAUGGAAUCAGUUUUGUCUAGGACACAAAAAAUGACUCUGGAAUACAAUGAAAAGAUAGAAACUGUCAACCGUGAGAGGAAAUUUCAUCAGCAAAACACUGGUGGACAACUCCAUGCGUUGACAGUAGAAUGGCAGGAACUGUGUCAGAAAAACAUAGCUAUUCAAGCUGCCUGUGUUGAUCUGCAGAAUCAAAUUGAUCUGCUUAAACUUGAAGCUAAAGAACAGGGAAUGCCAAUGGCUGGUGGCAAUGAAACUAACCCACAAGCAUCAGUAGGGAUUUGA
rnacentral:rRNA from 1 species